GACGAACGCUGGCGGCGUGCCUAAUACAUGCAAGUUGAGCGCUGAAGGUUGGUACUUGUACCGACUGGAUGAGCAGCGAACGGGUGAGUAACGCGUGGGGAAUCUGCCUUUGAGCGGGGGACAACAUUUGGAAACGAAUGCUAAUACCGCAUAAAAACUUUAAACACAAGUUUUAAGUUUGAAAGAUGCAAUUGCAUCACUCAAAGAUGAUCCCGCGUUGUAUUAGCUAGUUGGUGAGGUAAAGGCUCACCAAGGCGAUGAUACAUAGCCGACCUGAGAGGGUGAUCCGCCACAUUGGGACUGAGACACGGCCCAAACUCCUACGGGAAGCAGCAGUAGGGAAUCUUCGGCAAUGGACGAAAGUCUGACCGAGCAACGCCGCGUGAGUGAAGAAGGUUUUCGGAUCGUAAAACUCUGUUGGUAGAGAAGAACGUUGGUGGGAGUGGAAAGCUCAUCAAGUGACGGUAACUACCCAGAAAGGGACGGCUAACUACGUG
rnacentral:rRNA from 1 species